UUGAGAUCCGUGCACGGUCUCUAAACCAGUUCCUUCAGCGUUCCAGUAAACUUCAGGACGUCCUGACGAAGGGUUCUUGUGCUGUGGGACAAAGAGAAAGCCGAAUCCCACAGUAAACUCCGUGAACUCAUUUGAUCGCAUCUGUGUUGUGCGUCUUCGCGCGUCCUGCCGCUUCUUUGAUUACGCGCGGUUACGCACUAGACGCCCUGCUUUCCACCAUUAGAUUUAAACAUGUGAAGAGGGAAAGCAACUUGAGAAGUGUCAAAAUCAUCGACUGGAAUUUAGGAAUGCAAAUGUCGUGUUGAGCUGACAGCACAGCUGUGUUUCCAGUGGAUCACAGACAGACAGGUGAUGUGUCCUGUCUGGCUCUUUGGCUGCGCACCAAGUAAUGUGAUCAAUCAGAGGUACUUCAGAAAUCCCGCAGUCGCAGGUGUCACUCAUAAACAAACAUGCUGCUCCAGCUUGAGUUCACGGAGGGCGUCUGUCCUCACGCGCCCCGGGAGCUUUUACCUGCUUGUGUCUUGCAUGGCUGUUGUGUUCAGAGACGAAGAGCGAGGAUCAGCCCUGAUGACCCAGAAAGACGCUCAUGGAUGGGCCUAAUUAGAUCAGCCCGGUGUGACGAACGGGAGAUGACGUCAUGGCUCUGCUGGCCGGUCAUGUGACUGGCUUAAAUUGUGUUUGUGCUCUGAUCUGGGAUCAGAUGACCACUGUAGUGUUACUUAAUCAUAAACUUCAUUAGAGAACCAGGCUAAAUUAUAUACAUUAAAAUAUUAUUUCUGAUUGGAUGAGCCACGUUAGAUUUGUAAAAUGCAGGAUAUUAAAAAUAGCAUUUGUUUAAUCACACAGUAUACAGUGUUAGAUCUCAAGAAUACCACUAAUUUAGCCAUUUAUAUAAAGUGUGCACAGCAAUUUUGCAUCAUUCUCUCUGGCAGCAAGUAUUUUUUUAUUUUACAUAUUGUAUACUUAUUUUAAACGUAAAUAUAUAUUUUUUAAUGUUUAUGAAAGUUUAAAUAAAUAUAAGUGCAUGUUUAAAAACAAUACGACAUUGUAUUUUUAACACUUAAAGUUAUAUACAUAUAAUUUUCACAUUUUAAGAAAUAAAUGUACAUUUAUGUUUAUUCUCCUUGUGGCCUUUUUACAGAUCAUCUGAUCUUUCUCACUAGACUCUCUCACUCUUUAUUUCUUCUCUGUCAAGUUUCUCCUUUAAUCACACCGGUCAUCCCAGUAUAGAUGCAACAUCUGGAUUUCAUCGCCGCUGGAGUGAUGAUAAACACUCUCACAGCUGAUCCAAAACCCACAUCGCACGGAUGGAGUCAGUAGACAUCAGACAGAAGCUCAGAUGAAGCUAUACGUAGAUCCUACUCACUGGAUUAUUGCCUGCUGUUUCAAUUAUGUGCACAAGAACGUGAUAAUAGAAAAAACAAGAACAAUGUAACUUUGAGCUCCGGCGACGUCUGCUGGCAGCUCUGGGUACUGCAUCGUUCCAGUGCGGCUUUAUUUUGUUACUCAAACAAGCUUGCUUUCCCACAUUAACUUCCAAAACAUUCUUGUAAUAAAACAUAGUAUAUUUCUUUGAAAAAGUGAAGAAUUACCUCUAGCUGUGGUCUCUAAACUACUAUUAACCUGACGUAGGUCCAUGCUGAAUUAGAUUUUUUCCUUGCAUCGCUCAGAUUAAUAGCGUUUCUCUGUGAUUUAGCCCUGGAGAUGUGUCUGUAAUAGCAUAUGCCUUCCAGGCCUAAUUACCCUAAAUGCAAUUUAAGUUUAUUAUCUUUUGUAUCCAGGGAGAACUGCACAACUCCGUUAUUAACCAAACUGUCCUCCUUUCUUACUGUCCGACAAUUUACAGCAGGAUUCAAUCAAGUUACCGUAAGUAAAACCGAUGAUUUUUACUUUCGUUGACGGGAAAGCACUCGAUGGUCAGGCCGCUGUGGGCCUCUGGUCAACAGAAUACUUUUUGCAGUCUUCAUCCACGUCCCAUUGACGGAUUUUGACCAAAAGCAAAUAAACGGAGAACAUUAGAGCAGAAGGCAAAGUAUGCAGUGUGUUAAAAUCCACUCUCAUUCGAGUCACUUAACAGAAUUAUUAAGUAUUGUAUCUUUUAUUAAAUAAAAAAAAAGGCAAGAAAAACCUCAAACCUGGAUUUGUUGUCAUAGUCUGGCAUCAUUUUUCUGUCACUUUACUGUCUAUCCAAGAAGACCAGCCUGAAUUUAUUUUGGUUUAAUAUGCAUAAAUGUGUGUUUUUG
ensembl:lncRNA